GGUAAUAUUCUUGAGUAUUCUUACUAUUUUGCAAUCACUGUUUACAAUAUCACUAAAUACCGUUUUGUAUCUUUGCCUUGGUCACCACACGGGGGCGCUGGAGAUCCACGAGGACGAGCCAGACAGCGCGCGAGACGAGCCCCGGUGCAGCCUGGGGUGAAGGCCAGACAGCACUUCGUCACAGCAGAGACUGUUUAAGGAGUUAAAAGCAAAAGGGUCAAACAGAGCGGAUCUAAAUCACGACUGUGCACGCGCGCGCGCGCGUGUGUGUGUGCGUGCGCGCGCGUGUAUAUAUGUUUGGAUCGGGAUCAGAUUGCGGACAAGCUUUGUUUGACUAGCCUCCCCCUCUCAGACGAGUUAAUGGGAUGGAAGUUAUUUGCCACCCUGAGCCGACGAUGCGAGGUUGAACAGAAGCGUCGAAUGAAGAAGAAGAAGAAGAAGAAGGAAAAUAAAGAGGGCGUCAAUAAAUGAGCUGGAGACAAAGAAGUAAAAUACACUCGAGCAGGACAAAGACAGACAGAUGGAGACGGCGGGGGUAGCCUCGGUCUCUCUCUGUGCGUGUCGCAGGCUGGUCGGUGACAGGGACCCCAUCAGCGCAGGAUCAGAGUGGGGAAAUGGGAGGACAAUGUCGGGAGGGGGGAGGUAAUUUAAACCGAUUGGGGAGGCGGUGCGUCCCAGAGGUGCAUAAUUCACUCGUUCAUUAACUAGACCAAACAAGAGCCAAUAUUAAUUAACUCGUUCCUUGUUGUCCGCGGCCCGGCAGCAGCGGAGUGAGUCACACCUGCGGUCAGCGGGUGGAUUGUUUUGCUAAAAAUAACAUUAUUUAACAAAUUUAACACGCGAGGAGCAUUUUGGUUGCGUCUCAACGGCUCUCAACAUGGCGGCUCACAGUGCAAACCACGGCACCGAUCACGUUAAAUAAGCUCCUUUAAUAACUGUGUCACUUUGUUUUUUUUUAACGUAAAACAUGAUUUGCUUUACGCAAAUCAACGUAAUGAGAUCGUUAAAAGGUACUGAAUCUGGUCACUGAAACAAAGAGUGAACAUAUUUGCUUUCUUGGCCUGCACUCAUCUAUUCACGUUGGUCCAUUUAUUAAUGUAACUGAAACUGUAUAUUUUGAUGGUUUUAAGUAACCAUUGAAUGGUCAUUUCUUUAAAAGGGAUUUAUAAAUGGGCAGACAUUCUAUUAAACAUACUUUCUGGUUCUUGUUUGAA
ensembl:lncRNA